rnacentral:lncRNA from 1 species
AAACACAAGAACACUCGAAACUAAGAGUAGAUGUGAACCUAACGGUAUACCUAAAGCUUUGAUUACCACUUGAUGAGAAGAAGGGUGGCCCGAUCUUCCGAAAGGUUCUAGUAACUCUCGAUUUGGUGGAGACGAGACACAAAUCGAUCCGGCUUGCGAACAACACGAUCCGAAACCCUGCAAUUUUAUUUUAUUUUUUCGAUAUUUUUCUUUUACUUAGGAGCACUGAAUAAGUAACCAUAGAAAAUUUGAGCUUAAACAAGUGAAAUACGUGGCCUGCGGAAUUUUUUGAAGAUUGCAAAAAAUGUGAAAAAACAUCACGAGGUGAAAACUCAAACUUCGGAGGCAAAUUUAUAGAUUCUAAAAUUUUCAAACCUGCCAAUGGAAGGAACAGACAGAUCAAAAAAAAAUUUUUAGAUCGAUUUUGCUAUAUGGAACGUUGAAAUCGGAGUUCAUAUGUGAAAGUUAUGGUUGUUUUAAUAACGGACUCCGAAUUAGAGGACAAAACGGUGCGAAAGUGGGAAAAAAUUUCGGCAGUGGCUAGAAAUUGAUGGAAACGGUGGGGAAAAACACACGAACUGGACUCUAACAAGACCUAACCAGCAACAAGACAUCGACUAGGACACAAACUCAACACUGCGGACUCUAAGACUAAAAUAUGCAAAGGCUAUGGCUUGAAAGGUUUGUAGGACAGGAAAACGAUAUGACACUGGACUUAUGGGACGAACACAAGAACACUCAAAACUAAGGAUAGAUGUGAAUCUAACGAUAUACCUAAAGCUUUGAUUACCACUUGAUGAGAACAAGGGUGGCCUGAUCUUCCGAAAGGUUCUAGUAACUCUCGAUUUGGUGGAGACGAGACACAAAUCGAUUUGGCUUUCGAACAACCCGAUCCGAAACCCUGCAUUUUUUUUAUUUUUUUUAUAUUUUUCUUUUACCUAGGAGCACUAAAAAGUAACCACAAAAAAUUUGUGCUUAAACAAGUGAAAGACGUGGCCUGCAGAAUUUUCUGAAGAUUGCGAAAAAUGUGAAAAAACUUCAUGAGGAGAAAACUCAAACUUUGGAGGCAAAUUUUAAGAUAAAAUUAUCGAACCCGCUAAAGUCACAUACAGACAGAUCUGAAAUUUUUUUAUGAUCGAAUUUGAUAUAGGUAACGUUGAAAUCAGAGUUUGUAUGUGAAAGUUAUGGUUUGUUUACAAAUGCACUCCGAAAUAGAGGAAAAACGGUCCAGAAGUGGGAAAAAUUUGCGGCGCUGGCUAGAAAUUGAUGAAAAUAGUGGGGAAAAACACACGAACAGGACUCUAACAAGACCCAACCAGCAACAAGACCUCGACCAGGACACAAACUCAACACUGCGGACUCUGAAACUGAAAUAUGCAAAAGCUACGGCGCGGAAGGGAUGUAGGACAAGAAAACGAUAUGGCACUAGACUUAUGGGACGAACACAAGAACACUCGAAACUAAGGGUAGAUGUGAACCUAACGGUAUACCUGAAGCUUUGAUUACCACUUGAUGAGAACAAGGGUGGCCCGAUCUUCCGAAAGGUUCUGGUAACUCUCGAUUUAGUGGAGACGAGACACAAAUCGAUCCGGCUUCAGAACAACACGAUCCAAAACCCUACAAUUUUUUUUAUUUUUUUUGAUAUUUUAUUUUACUUAGGAGCACUAAAGAAGUAACCACGGAAAAUUUGAGCUUAAACAAGUGAAAGACAUGGCCUGCGGAAUUUUCUGAAGAUUGCGAAAAAUGUGAAAAAAACUUCACGAGGUUAAAACUCAAACUUCGGAGGCGAAUUUGGAGAUUCUAAAAUUUUCAAGCCCGCUAGUACUAGGGACAGGCAGAUCCAAAAAUUUUUCUGAUCGAUUUUGAUAUAUAGAACGUUGAAAUCAGAGUUCGUUGCGAAAGUUGUGGCUGUUUUAUGAACAGACUCCAAAUUAGAGGACAAAACGGUCUGAAAGUGGGAAAAAAUUGUGGCGGUGGCUAGAAAUUGAUGGAAACGGUGGGAAAAAACACACGAACUAGACUCUAACAAGACCUAACCAGCAACAAGACCUCAACUAGGACACAAACUCAACACCGCGGACUCUGAAACUGAAAUAUGAAAAGGCUAUGGCACGGAAGGGUUGUAGAACAGGAAAACAAUAUGGCACUAUACUUAUGGGACAAACACAAGAACACUCAAAACUAAGAGUAGAUGUGAACCUAACGGUAUACCUAAAGCUUUGAUUACCACUUGAUGAGAACAAGGGUGACCCGAUCUUCCGAAAGGUUCUAGUAACUCUCGAUUUGGUGGAGACGAGACACAAAUCGAUUUGGCUUUCGAACAACACGAUCCGAAACCCUGCAUUUUUUUAUUUUUUUUAUAUUUUUCUUUUACCUAGGAGCACUAAAAAGUAACCACAAAAAAUUUGUGCUUAAACAAGUGAAAGACGUGGCCUGCAGAAUUUUCUAAAGAUUGCGAAAAAUGUGAAAAAACUUCAUGAGGAGAAAACUCAAACUUUGGAGGCAAAUUUCAAGAUAAAAUUAUCAAACCCGCUAAAGUCACAGACAGACAGAUCUGAAAUUUUUUUAUGCUCGAAUUUGAUAUAGGUAACGUUGAAAUCAGAGUUUGUAUGUGAAAGUUAUGGUUUGUUUACAAAUGCACUUCGAAAUACAGGAAAAAACGGUCCACAAGUGGGAAAAAUUUGCGGCGCUGGCUAGAAAUUGAUGGAAACGGUGGGGAAAACACACGAACUGGACUCUAACAAGACCUAACCAGCAACAAGACCUCGACCAGGACACAAACUCAACACUGCGGACUCUGAAACUGAAAUAUGCAAAGGUUAUGGCGCGGAAGGGAUGUAGGACAAGAAAACGAUAUGGCACUGGACUUAUGGGACGAACACAAGAACACUCAAAACUAAGGGUAGACGUGAACCUAACGGUAUACCUGAAGCUUUGAUUACCACUUGAUGAGAACAAGGGUGGCCCGAUCUUUCGAAAGGUUCUGGUAACUCUCGAUUUAGUGGAGACGAGAUACAAAUCGAUCCGGCUUCGGAACAACACGAUCCGAAACCCUGCAAUUUUUUUUAUUUUUUUGAUAUUUUAUUUUACUUAGGAGCACUAAAGAAGUAACCACAAAAAAUUUGAGCUUAAACAAGUGAAAGACAUGGCCUGCGGAAUUUUCUGAAGAUUGCGAAAAAUAUGAAAAAAACUUCACGAGGUUAAAACUCAAACUUCGGAGGCGAAUUUGGAGAUUCUAAAAUUUUCAAGCCCGCUAGUACUAGGGACAGGCAGAUCCAAAAAUUUUUCUGAUCGAUUUUGAUAUAUAGAACGUUGAAUUCAGAGUUCGUAUGCGAAAGUUGUAGCUGUUUUAUGAACAGACUCCAAAUUAGAGGACAAAAUGGUCUGAAAGUGGGAAAAAUUUGUGGCGGUGGCUAGAAAUUGAUAGAAACGGUGGGAAAAACACACGAACUGGACUCUAACAAGACCUAACCAGCAACAAGACCUCAACUAGGACACAAACUCAACACCGCGGACUCUAAAACUGAAAUAUGCAAAGGCUAUGGCGCGGAAGGGUUGUAGGACAGGAAAACAAUAUGGCACUAUACUUAUGGGACAAACACAAGAACACUCGAAACUAAGAGUAGAUGUGAACCUAACGGUAUACCUAAAGCUUUGAUUACCACUUGAUGAGAAGAAGGGUGGCCCGAUCUUCCGAAAGGUUCUAGUAACUCUCGAUUUGGUGGAGACGAGACACAAAUCGAUCCGGCUUGCGAACAACACGAUCCGAAACCCUGCAAUUUUAUUUUAUUUUUUCGAUAUUUUUCUUUUACUUAGGAGCACUGAAUAAGUAACCAUAGAAAAUUUGAGCUUAAACAAGUGAAAUACGUGGCCUGCGGAAUUUUUUGAAGAUUGCAAAAAAUGUGAAAAAACAUCACGAGGUGAAAACUCAAACUUCGGAGGCAAAUUUAGAGAUUCUAAAAUUUUCAAACCUGCCAAUGGAAGGAACAGACAGAUCAAAAAAAAAAAAUUAGAUCGAUUUUGCUAUAUGGAACGUUGAAAUCGGAGUUCAUAUGUGAAAGUUAUGGUUGUUUUAAUAACGGACUCCGAAUUAGAGGACAAAACGGUGCGAAAGUGGGAAAAAAUUUCGGCAGUGGCUAGAAAUUGAUGGAAACGGUGGGGAAAAACACACGAACUGGACUCUAACAAGACCUAACCAGCAACAAGACAUCGACUAGGACACAAACUCAACACUGCGGACUCUAAGACUAAAAUAUGCAAAGGCUAUGGCUUGAAAGGUUUGUAGGACAGGAAAACGAUAUGACACUGGACUUAUGGGACGAACACAAGAACACUCAAAACUAAGGAUAGAUGUGAAUCUAACGAUAUACCUAAAGCUUUGAUUACCACUUGAUGAGAACAAGGGUGGCCUGAUCUUUCGAAAGGUUCUAGUAACUCUCGAUUUGGUGGAGACGAGACACAAAUCGAUUUGGCUUUCGAACAACACGAUAAGAAACCCUGCAUUUUUUUUAUUUUUUUUAUAUUUUUCUUUUACCUAGGAGCACUAAAAAGUAACCAAAAAAAAUUUGUGCUUAAACAAGUGAAAGACGUGGCCUGCAGAAUUUUCUGAAGAUUGCGAAAAAUGUGAAAAAAACUUCAUGAGGAGAAAACUCAAACUUUGGAGGCAAAUUUCAAGAUAAAAUUAUCGAACCCGCUAAAGUCACAGACAGACAGAUCUAAAAUUUUUUUAUGAUCGAAUUUGAUAUAGGUAACGUUGAAAUCAGAGUUUGUAUGUGAAAGUUAUGGUUUGUUUACAAAUGCACUCCGAAAUAGAGGAAAAACGGUCCAGAAGUGGGAAAAAUUUGCGGCGCUGGCUAGAAAUUGAUGAAAAUAGUGGGGAAAAACACACGAACAGGACUCUAACAAGACCCAACCAGCAACAAGAC